UAAGUCAGAAUCCGUGCUAGAAACGAUGAUGUUGGUGUCGCACAUUAGACUUGUGUUUAAAUAGAGCUUUGCUCGUGAACCAAAUAUGGUGGGCUGGGUUGUCUUUGCGGAAACGCUUGGGCGACUUGUCUACGAAUUGUAAUCAUAAUAUGGGCGGCGGUGAAUCCUUUGCAGACGACUUGAAUGGGAACGGGGUACUGUAAGUGGUAGAGUAGCCUUGUUGCUACGAUCCACUGAGGUUAAGCCCUUGUUCUAAAGAUUUGUUC
rnacentral:rRNA from 2 species